AGUGAACGCUGGUGGUAGGCCUAACACAUGCAAGUCGAACGGCAGCACAGUAAGAGCUUGCUCUUACGGGUGGCGAGUGGCGGACGGGUGAGGAAUACAUCGGAAUCUACUUUUUCGUGGGGGAUAACGUAGGGAAACUUACGCUAAUACCGCAUACGACCUACGGGUGAAAGCAGGGGAUCUUCGGACCUUGCGCGAUUGAAUGAGCCGAUGUCGGAUUAGCUAGUUGGCGGGGUAAAGGCCCACCAAGGCGUCGAUCCGUAGCUGGUCUGAGAGGAUGAUCAGCCACACUGGAACUGAGACACGGUCCAGACUCCUACGGGAGGCAGCAGUGGGGAAUAUUGGACAAUGGGCGCAAGCCUGAUCCAGCCAUACCGCGUGGGUGAAGAAGGCCUUCGGGUUGUAAAGCCCUUUGGUUGGGAAAGAAAAGCAGCAGGUUAAUACCCCGCUGUUCUGACGGUACCCAAAGAAUAAGCACCGGCUAGCUUCGUG
rnacentral:rRNA from 1 species